GAUCCUGGCUCAGGAUGAACGCUAGCGACAGGCUUAACACAUGCAAGUCGGGGGGAAACGACAUCGAAAGCUUGCUUUUGAUGGGCGUCGACCGGCGCACGGGUGAGUAACGCGUAUCCAACCUGCCCAUCACUUGGGAAUAACCUUGCGAAAGUAAGACUAAUGCCCAAUGAUAUCCCACGAAGGCAUCCGAAUGGGAUUAAAGAUUUAUCGGUGAUGGAUGGGGAUGCGUCUGAUUAG
rnacentral:rRNA from 1 species